ACACGGUCGAUUAACUGUGUUCCCAACCCGAAUGUAAUUCACGUGCUCUGUGUCGUGCGAAUUGUAAUCACUUUGAUCGUCUCCGCCGUGUAGCACCAUGCCGCGUGCUUUCCUCAUCAAAAAGAAACAGCAGUGUGCCCGGAGUGGAAUACCUCUGUCCAGGGCGAAUUGGUCAGAUGAAGAUACUAAUGAUGCUGGCAUUAUGGAUAAUUCGAGCUUCCAACCUCAGUUUGUACCUCUUACCGUUGUGUCAACAGAUACGAAAGGCCCUUUUGACUUAAGUAUGAAACCGAAAACGCUUGACGAAAAUUCCAGUGAUAGUGAAAUGCUACGUGUGUCUCCCAAGCCAACGGUGGACCAUUCUCCUCAUCCUCCAGCAACAAUCAUUGCACCUAAACCAAUAAAGCCGACUCCAAAGACAGCAGAGGAAAUGGCUGCUACCAGACCCCAUUGGCAGCGGCAAAUGAUGCAAUCGUAUCUUCCAUUAAACUACCCAAUUUACUCAUAUCCUCGAAGGCCAACUGAAGUCUAUCCUUAUAACAGUGGUUACACUCACAGUCAGAAUACCUUAGUGCCUCCACCACUAGUGCCUUUAAGUUCAGCGUCUGCCAAUUCCGAUAGAUAUUCUCCUUCUAGAGAAAGAUACGAGGUUGUACCACAUAGGAAUGUGUCCCCAACUAUGCUUGCGUCAGGUAGUCCGUCGCCUCCAUCUGUUUAUCUCGGCUGGUAUUCCGAUGGACAAGAUUCUGGACUUGCAUCUUCGCCCAGUCCCAGUUCUGAAGACGGUGAGAUGAUAUCAAAAGCGAACCCUACCCGCUACCAAUGUCCGGACUGUAAUAAAAGCUAUUCUACUUACAGUGGACUAUCUAAGCAUCGGUUGAUGCAUUGCGCCACACAUGCCAAGAAAUCUUUCUGUUGCAAAUACUGUGACAAAGUUUACGUAUCUUUAGGAGCCCUUAAGAUGCAUAUCAGGACGCACACUUUGCCUUGUAAAUGCAAACUGUGCGGAAAGGCCUUUUCUCGUCCUUGGCUGUUACAAGGGCAUAUUCGCACCCACACGGGCGAGAAACCUUUCUCGUGUCAACAUUGUAGCAGGGCAUUCGCGGACAGGUCUAACCUCAGGGCUCACCUUCAGACACAUUCAGAAGUCAAGAAAUACAGAUGCAAGACGUGUAGCAAAACCUUCUCUAGAAUGUCCUUAUUGCUCAAGCACGAAGACGGUGGUUGCGCGGGUGUUGUGCCUCAACAGCAAACGCCUGCCAAUUAAAGAGACUCCAUGAAAUAUAGAAUGAAAAAUGCAUGCCAAGUGAUUGUAGUAAUCAUUGUUCAGUUUAUCUUUGAAACUAGAAUCUCUAUUAAGGAAUUUUUAUUAUUAAAAUAUUCACCCAUAUUUUGUAACUGGUAUUUGAAAUGGAAUGUUAUGGAUGUAAAAUCCUUGUUUGAUAGUCUAAAAGUUUUGUAAAUUGUUUCUAUUUGCUCCAUUCUUGUUUAUAAUUUAAAAAAUGUAAUUAUAAUGAGCAAGCUGCGAAACCUUUAAAUCGGUAUCAAAGUCUAACGAGUUCUUAACAAUAUUAAAUCAUAUGCUAUCUCUACAUAAUAAUAUUAUAAUAUAUUUUCUAAAUUCCUAUCUAUGAAAAUUAAAUUCUUUCUUCCAUUACGUGAAUUUCCACUAAUUUCCAUUUCAAAUGAAUAACUAGUUUAUUAUUAUUAUUAUUAUUAUUAUUAUUUUGAGUGGAAUAUAUAUUUAUAUGUAAAUUGAUUUGAUUUAUUAUAUUGCACAUUUUGUAGAGCAUUUAGAUUGUGAAUUAUUUUUAAUAGGUUUUUGAAAAGAAAAUUUCAAAAUGUGCGAGAAUUUAUGAUGCAUGCUUGUUUGAAUGAAUGGUUAGAAUUAUGUUUAUAUCAAAUGUGAGAUACUACUAGUCUUUAUAGCUAGAAUUAGGAAGACAUUUCAGAAUAAUGCAUUUGAAUCUGCCAUAUUUAAGUAUUCUGUUAGCCUUAUUUUUUGUUUCUCCAAGCCAAAUUACUUUUUCAUGGACAGCAGAAUGAUUCAAUGUUUAAGCUUUAAAAAUGUCAACUUAAUUCAUCAAAAAUGUUAAAUAUAUGUAAAAUUUUGAUAAUGCAUUAUGUAAUUAAUAUUAUUAUAAUUUUAAAUUAACUCUUUGGUAGGCGAUUGUCAACAGUGUUUCAAGUGCAUACAUGUUAGUAUAUAACAAGAUGAAGUACUGCCUAUGAGAAAUGAGAGAAAAGUGUUGAACAUUUUGUGUUUGAAUCAUAUUUCCAAGGAAAAAUUACAUUAAAAAAAUUUUGUUUUAAUAUUAAGCUAAAGAAGCAAAAAAAUAAGUACGAAUAUAAUUUACUUUGUUUAAAAUGCUUUUCCAAAAACCAUAUUAAUUUAAUAAAAAUUGCCCAGGCAUUUAAAAAAAUGUUUUAAAUCAAUUUAUCCUAUUAUUUAAUUUCCGUAAUAAAAUAAACAUACUUAUUUUUUACCACAAGGCUGUUAUUUUUAGAGCAUUUAAGUUUUAAUGAAACUGUUUCGACUUUUAUCUUAAAUGCAAGUUGUUUUAUUUUCCCUUGAAAAACGCAUUGUCUUAUAUGCAUUUUACAGUACUCCAAUCAAUACUGCACUUUAAAUUAUAUUAGCAGAAUCAAAUACCAGUUCAACUUUUCACGCAGAAGUAAGAUACAAAUUUCCUUUAAAAAUGAUACAAAAUGCCUUUAACAGCUUUCUGUGUAAUCAGGUUUGUUGAAGGAAACCUUAAGUUUCCCAUAAGUUGAGCUUCUGCUUAUUUUUAUUUUUUAAAAUAAAAGCAAAUCGCGUUCAUAAUGAAUAGCAUGAAAAGUGGAAAGAAAUUGUAUUAAAAUGAAUCGAAGUUUUCCCAGCAGGGGGGGGGGAAUGCUUUGGAGCGAGAGGACAGCCAUCCAGGCCCGUCUUCCAUAAAGCAUUUAUCUGUAUGCUAAUCCUCUUGCUCUACCCACCUGUUCCAGUUUUCCUGCCACCAGUAGCGUCGGAAGGUCGUUGAUGUGUUGUUUGUGGUCCAGGAGGCGUCACCGAUCUGCCUUGCACCUGUUGCCCAGGAAUGUUCCAACGAAGGUGGUUCAAGGUUCAGCCACCGACUUGUUGUCUUUGACUUUUCUUUAAUUAAGAUUCCCUGCAGCAAUGCAGGUUUUCAUUUUCCCCUCUUGUAACUUUCUUCCCGAGCACAGUGACCUAAAUCAGCCGACUUAAAGAUAAAAUUGAAAAAUUAACUUGAAACUUCUCACCUGGCGUCAAAUAGUUUAAGGUUACACUGAACACUGUCUUAAAAAGAUUAACGAUAUUGGUCUUCUGUGGAGGUGGUCAUUUUAGAGAAAUGAUGUACAGCACUGAUCUUCGGUCAUCGCCGCAGGGUUCACUGUGCAUCAUAAAUAUUUAUAUUCUAGAAAAUAUCACUAUAAUAAAACAGUAAUAAUUACAAAUGUUGUUACUACCGCUACCAGUUUUGUGCAUCAAGUCGCAAUAAACUUUAUAAUAGACUGUUUCAUUUCCUUGUAUGCAAAAUUACAGGAAAACC
rnacentral:misc_RNA from 1 species